AUGAUUUUGUCGGCAUCCAACUGUUCUCGAAUUGGUUUAUUCAAGAAUUCAAAACAUACCAAUGCGAUAAAAGAAUGGAAUCCUAGAAUUCCUAUUCGAGAAAUUUUUGGGCCCUUAGGCGCUAUUGUAGCUAGUAUAUCGCAUUUUUCUUCAUCUUACUAUUUACUAACGCAUAAUAAAAUCCUAUUAAAAAAAUAUUUGUUCGUUGACAAUUUAAAACAAACCUUCCAAGUACUUCAAGAACUUAAAUACUCUUUAAUAGAUGAAAAUAUAAGGAUUUCUAAUUUCGAUAGUAACAUAAUGUUGGAUCCAUUCCUUUUGAAUUGUCACUUUGUCCAUCAUGAUUCUUGGGAAGAGACAUUGGCAAUAAUUCACCUUGGACAAUUUAUUUGUGAAAAUGUAUGUCUAUUUAAAUCGCACGUAAAAAAUCCGGUCAAAUUUUCAUUGUAA
rnacentral:rRNA from 1 species